CCUACGGGAGGCAGCAGUGAGGAAUAUUGGUCAAUGGGCGCAAGCCUGAACCAGCCAAGUCGCGUGAGGGAAGACGGUCCUAUGGAUUGUAAACCUCUUUUGUCGGGGAGCAAAAGACGCCACGCGUGGCGUUCCGCGAGUACCCGACGAACAAGCAUCGGCUAACUCCGUGCCAGCAGCCGCGGUAAUACGGAGGAUGCGAGCGUUAUCCGGAUUUAUUGGGUUUAAAGGGUGCGCAGGCGGAAGAUCAAGUCAGCGGUAAAAUUGAGAGGCUCAACCUCUUCGAGCCGUUGAAACUGGUUUUCUUGAGUGAGUGAGGAGUAUGCGGAAUGCGUGGUGUAGCGGUGAAAUGCAUAGAUAUCACGCAGAACUCCGAGUGCGAAGGCAGCAUACCGGCGCGCAACUGACGCUCAUGCACGAAAGUGUGGGUAUCGAACAGGAUUAGAUACCCUUGUAGUC
rnacentral:rRNA from 1 species